rnacentral:pre_miRNA from 1 species
AAGGGUUGGGGUCUCAGGAGACAGAGCUCUGAGAUGUCUUCACCUUGGCCUUGGGUCCACUUCCCUUCCCCUUCUCACUUACGGCACAAGUGA